rnacentral:tRNA from 1 species
AUUUAAAUAGCUUAUAAUAGAGUGUGACACUGAAGAUGUUAAGGUGAUAUUUUUAUCUUUAAAUA